rnacentral:rRNA from 1 species
UUGGAGGGCAAGUCUGGUGCCAGCAGCCGCGGUAAUUCCAGCUCCAAUAGCGUAUAUUAAAGUUGUUGCCGUUAAAAAGCUCGUAGUUGAACCUUGGACCUGGCUGAUCUGUCCUCCUAAUCGAGCGCACGGAUUCGGUCGGGUCUUUCCUUCUGGGGAGCCCUAUGCCCUUCACUGGGUGUAGUGGGGAACCAGGACUUUUACCUUGAAAAAAUUAGAGUGUUCAAAGCAGGCCUUUGCUCGAAUACAUUAGCAUGGAAUAAUAGAAUAGGACAUCGGUUCUAUUUUGCUGGUUUCUAGGACCGCUGUAAUGAUUAAUAGGGAUAGUCGGGGGCGUCAGUAUUCAAUUGUCAGAGGUGAAAUUCUUGGAUUUAUUGAAGACUAACUACUGCGAAAGCAUUCGCCAAGGAUGUUUUCAUUAAUCAGUGAACGAAAGUUAGGGGAUCGAAGACGAUCAGAUACCGUCGUAGUCUUAACCAUAAACUAUGCCGACUAGGGAUCGGACGGUGGUUUUUUUAUGCCCCGUUCGGCGCCUUACGGGAAAC